rnacentral:rRNA from 1 species
CCUACGGGAGGCAGCAGUGAGGAAUAUUGGUCCAUGGACUGAAGUCUGAACCAGCCAUUCCGCGUGCAGGAAGACGGCUCUAUGAGUUUUAAACUGCUUUUGUACAAGGGUAAACCUGAAUACGUGUAUUCAGCUGAAAGUACUGUACGAAUAAGGAUCGGCUAACUCCGUGCCAGCAGCCGCGGUAAUACGGAGGAUCCAAGCGUUAUACGGAUUUAUUGUGUUUAAAGGGUGCGUAGGCGGAUUGAUAAGUUAGAGGUGAAAUGUCCGAGCUUAACUCGGGAACUGCCUCUAAUACUGUUGAGCUAGAGAGUAGAUGCGGUAGGCGGAAUGUAUGGUGUAGCGGUGAAAUGCUUAGAGAUCAUACAGAACACCGAUUGCGAAGGCAGCUUACCAAUCUAUAUCUGACGUUGAGGCACGAAAGCGUGGGGAGCAAACAGGAUUAGAUACCCGAGUAGUC